AAGCAACCCAGAGCCCUCCUCCCGCCUGCUCUGUGUAGGAGACAGCCUGCGGAGCCCACUGCCGGCGCGCAGAGAGCCCAGCAGCUCUUGAGUCCAGGAAGCAAGGGUGGGAGGAGGGACGAGCCAGUGGCAAUGACCCAGACCCGGACGACCCCCAUUGCUGAGCCAGCGGAGCUGCUUGGAGGCAGAGGUUGCAGUGAGCUGAGAUUUUGCGACUACACUCCAACCUGGGCAACAGAGCGGGACUCCAUUCCAAAAAAAUAAGAAAAACAGAAAAAUAAUAAUUACAUCUGCAAAGACCUUAUUUCCAGGCUCAAGCAGAGUCUUCCUCCUGGUGUUCCAGAAGGAGUUCAAGGUCCUGCUCCAUAUGGGACAGCUAGAUUCUGAGGGCAAUGUUGAGAUCCUCAUCUCCAGAAGGUGCUGGUGCCAGAAAUAUGACAAAAGGCUGAUUGACGGGCCAGGCGCGGGUCCACGAGGCUGGUGUCAGACCUAUUGGGAGACCCUCUGCGUUAGUGAGAAAAACGGCAAGAAAUGGGAGCACGCGGAAACCUCCAAGACUAGAGCCACCAGAUGCCACCGACAGCACGCAGCUGGACCAGCACGGGGGAGGGCCUUCGUGGGUCGAGAGCUCGCUCGGGAGAUAGUUGGUGCUUUUCUUUCAGGAGAAGAAUCCCUGGCGGAGUCUGACCGUUCUCUGGCGCACAGCCCCGGGGGUGGGCACAGCAGCCGCCCCUGCUGAAGGGACUGACGCCUCCGACGACCAGCAGCCAAGUUAAACGCACUGUUCCGUGAGCAGCUUUGUUGGAGACAGCGCGGUUCACAUUCUCUUCCAACGGAGCCGCUGACUGCGGAGCUGGGAGGGGACGUGACAGAACCCAGCCAUCCAACGUCCCCCCACCCCUCCCCAGCUGGGACCUCCGGCUGCUUCCGGGCUGCGCUGGGUGGCGUCAAGGAGCCGCCCCUCUGGGCCGCGUCCCUCCCUCACGCCCUGCACACUGGCCCUGUGUGGCCGGCGGGGCGCCUAAAAGGGCGGAAGGAUGCAGGGGCGGAGGGGGCUCGGGAUUGCACGCCUAGCUCAGACCCCCCAGCCAGGACCCCUCGCGCUGUUGGACACGCCAGCCUCCCGACCCUGCGGCUCCUACGGGAGGUGACAAGGACCCUGCCAACCUGGCCUGAAUGGCCCAGUUUGAUACAGAUCAGGUUUUCAAUGAAUGAGACCGCGGUGUGGUCUAGGCGGAGGGAUGAGAGGAGGGGAUUCUGCUGGGAUAAGUGGGGGCGGGGUAAGGAGGGGAUUCUUUUCCUGGGCUGAGGAGAACGCAGGGACAAAGUACACAGGGGUAGUUGAGUGAGCAGGUGAGGCCCUAGGCUGGUUCCCCACCUUCUCAGGAUCGGAGCCACUCACUUCCUGGUACUCUCUGCAGUCUCCUGGCGUUAAAUAACAUCCCUUUGCUGGAGACUCUGGAUUCACAUCCAUAAUCGCAGCCUCCCCUACUCAUCCCCUCACGCUUCCCAUGAACUAACCUUGAAGGACCCGACCAGAGCCCUGACCUCCGUCCCACACACCUGCUACAUGGAAGGUGUUCUCCACAUCAGUUCAAGGCAGUGUCACUCUUCAGGAUGUUCAGGCUCUAAACCUUGGACUCCUCCUCCAGAUUUCUCUCUCCUUCCUUCUCCUUGUCUCUCCCUUGCACUUACGGUUCACUUUUCCUUCGUAGCUUUGUAGCUCAUUCCCCCUUCCACUUUCCACACCACCUUCUGGUCUGUUAAUUAAAUAUUACCUGGUUUCCACUGACACCUUCCCUGGGUUCCCAAUUGAAAAUCACAACAUCAUCCUCCUCCUCUGCUUUUUUUCUCCAAAUUAUAUCCUCACCCAAUUAUGUGUUAUUCUCAUUAAUCUUGCUUAAUUAAUUAGCAGACAUUAUUAAUGCCUGUUUCCCCUAUCACCACCACUAGACUAUGAACUCCUAAGGACUCCUUCCUUCCACCACUGUUGUACUCGCUUCACCUAGAACUGCUUGGCACAUACAAUGUGCUCCAUAAAUAUUUGUUGAAUGAAAGACUAGACACAACUUAGGAUUCACUCCCCCAUGUGGCAUCCAUAAGCCCUGUAUGCAGGUAAAAUGUCAGUGGGUUGACUAAAUACUGGAAGUGGAAAAAACUUCACCUCUUUGGUUUGCAGUUGUCUAGGAUAUUUAGGCCAAUGGAAAAUCCAGUUUUCCUUAGAAUUAAGCCAGUGCCGCCAGACUUGCCAGUUUACCAUGCUUGUCUGACUGGUCCUCAGCAUGGGUCAUACGUGUCCAAUGAAUUCAAACAAAAUCUUGAGAAGACACGAACCUUGCCCUUCGGCUGGGCGCGGUGGCUCACGCCUGUAAUCCCAGCACUUUGGGAGGCCGAGGCAGGCGGAUCACGAGGUCAGGAGAUCGAGACCAUCCUGGCUAACAUGGUGAAACCCCGUCUCUACUAAAAAUACAAAAAAUUAGCCGAGCGUGGUGGCGGGCGCCUGUAGUCCCAGCUACUCAGGAGGCUGAGGCAGGAGAAUGGCGUGAACCCGGGAGGCGGAGCUUGCAGUGAGUGAGCCGAGAUCGCACCCCUGCACUCCAGCCUGGGCGACAGAGCGAGACUCCGUAAAAAAACAAAAAAAAAACCUUGCCCUUCAUUCCCCAUUUCUAUCAUAAUCUACACAGAGUUUUGAACAGGCAUUUUAAAAUCAACAAUAUAUUAUUUACAAUUUUGUUAGUAUACAUAACUCUAACUCACUGUUAAAAAUCACCUGUCUUUAUAUCCAUUAAAUGACACUUGCAUAUGCUCCAA
rnacentral:lncRNA from 1 species